rnacentral:rRNA from 1 species
AGCUUUAUGCUAUUUUAUAAAGUAACUCCUGCUCAGUGAAAAUAAACAGCCGCAGAAUUUAUAUACUGUGCUAAGGUAGCAUAAUCACUUGUCUUUUAAUUCAAGAAUAGAAUGAAUGGAAAAACGAAUUUUAACCUCUUUCAACUUUUCUCAAUAAAAUUACUAAAAAGUAAAAACACUUUUUCCAAAAAAAAAGACGAUAAGACCCUAAAGAACUUAACUAAAGUUAAGCUGGGGCGGCUAAUUUAAAAAAAUCUUAACACCAAUUUAAUAACUUUAUUUACUUCAAUGUUACCUUAGGGAUAACACCAUAAUUUAUUUUUAUAGCUCUUAUUUAAAAUUAAGAUUAUGACCUCGAUGUUGAAUUAAAAUUCUACUAAACG